rnacentral:lncRNA from 1 species
UCAGAGGAGAAGAAGAUCCUGAACGAGAUGCUGGAGGUGGUGGAGCAGAGAGACUCGCUGGUGGCCCUGUUGGAGGAGCAGCGACUGCGGGAGAAAGAGGAGGACAAGGACCUGGAGGCUGCUAUGCUGUGCAAGGGCUUCAGCCUGGACUGGUCCUGAGCCUGCCUACCAUUGUGUCUGGUAGAUUGGCACCCACCUGACCCGGCUGCGUUCUCCCAAACCACUGGAUCCAGGUUCAGAAGAAGCCUGGCGUCCCCAGAGGGCAGUGCUCAGACACCACGCUGUGGGAAAACCCCAGGUGAGGGUUAUCAUCUGAGGUGACGUCACCUCCAAGGAGAGGCGCCCCCCACCCCCAGACUCCCCACUCAGGAGGGAGGAGAUGGGCAUGUUUGAUAUGUGCCCCAGGGGAACCGCCUUCAGGUCCCUGAGGGCUUGCUGCCUGGCACCUCUUUCAAGUGGCUCCUCUCCAGAGCCACUGCCACCACAGAGCACCUGCAGAGCAGAGCAACCGUUGCCCUCAUGCUCCCUGAAGCACCACCAAAGAGAAAAGUACAGAGGCAUCUUCAGAAAAGGGCUGUGGAUGGAGAUCCAGCCGGGAGCGACCCCCGCAGGGGUAAUGCUCACCCAGCUCUCGCAGGGGAAGUAGGCAGGUUCAUUAUGCAAGUUAGGAGGGUGCAAGAGGGGUCUGCCCCACCACACACUGGAUCCCCAGUGGCCAAGUGCCCCAGGCCUCUCACAUGGGCAGUGGCCUGAAGCCCGUGGAUUGCUGUGUUUUGCUUUUAGUUCACAACCAUUUUGACACUGGAAAGUAUUGACUUUGGGAGAGCUGAAGGAGGCCCUACCUUGUCAACUCCUCCCCCACCCCUUCCCCACCCUAGUCCUGUUGACAGAGAGGCGCAGUCCCUGGUCAGCGCCCACAUCAGUACAGGAGAGGGCUCUCCUUGGCAUUUUCCUGUGUUUGCACAUUGACAGCCUGGCCAGACACUCAGCCACUUCGGCCCCUUUUUGUCAAUUAACUUAUUUUUUUAAUACUUGAAAGUAAAGCAACGUCAUUUUUAUACCUUUACUAGAGACACUGCCUGUCACCUGCGCGUGGACGUGACGAGGGGGGGUCUUUGUACAUCCCAUGCAGCCUGAUGCAAAACUGACCUGAUUCUUGUUACAAGCAUUUAUUUAUUAGAUUCUUAAUGGUGUACCCGACUGGUUGGCGCCAGGAAGCAGCUCAAGGCCCUGUGGGUCCUUGCUCACAGCUUCUCUGUCCCCUCCUCCACCCAGCGCCCUGUUCCCGUUGCCGCUGGACUUGUGCAGGAGAAUGGCCUCUCUGUGCGGAUACAUUUCAGCACCAGGAGGCCAGACAGGCUGUUCUGGUCUUUUGGGGAUCUUGACUGUGUGGAACCCACUUUGUCCAGUUUUGCUGCCAAGGUUUUACCUACUGUACAUAGGUUAAAGGUUGAGACUAGCCCCUCUUCAUGCUUGCUGGGACCAGGUAGAGUGCGACCUUGUCCUUAGGCUAGCUGGUGAAAAUGCUCAGUCCAGCUAGACAGGAACCUGUACGCUGGUCUCACUUCAACGUACCAGCCACUCCAAUCUUCUCUGCCUACACCAGGAUUUUCUCAACCUGGCAAGAGCCAGUAAGCACCAUGUAACCAGAUGCAUAAACCAAGCUGUUCAUUUCCCGUGGUUUAGCCAGAGACCGGUGACUGUGGCCAGGGUGCUUCUCUCAAAACAGCAGCACAUGGACCGAUCCACUGGUGCCGUACCAAUCUGGAAAGGCCACACCAGCUGUGGGAGGGGCUAGUGCAGACGACAGCCAAGGGCCCACACUGACCCUGGACUUCCCAUGGGAACCACACUGUGCCUCAUCUUGAACAUCCAUCCACCCAACUCCAGAGGAGCAAACGGCUAUCUUACUCCUUCACCUUGAACAGAAGCUGCCAUCGCUCCCGUGGAAAUCCAGAUGUGCUGCUGGCAACCACCACAGCUCUGAUGUCAUCACUUCCUGGUCACUGACGUGGCAGUAUUGCUAUUUUUAUUCUAUAAGAGGAGGAUGUUCUGGAUUCCAUUUUCAACUACAAUCUGCCAAUAAAACUGGACUUUGGACAGGGCCAUCAUCGCCUGUGCGGCCUUCUCCUUGAGCCUGUCCUCCUCCACAGUGCCACCGGCAAUCCCAUGCAGCUCAGCUCUGUCAUUCCUGCUAACCCAGAACAAGGAAACCGUUUCCAGAGCAACCCAACAAGGAUGCAGGGGCAUGCUGCACCUCUCGUGGCCUCACAGAGCAGAAGCAACAGGUGUUCCCUUCUGCCUCUGUCGUGGUCAGCCAUGACCUGCUGAUCUCUCCAAAGCACACACACUGCUUCCAGCAGUCAUUGGAAAGUGGGCAGAACACUUUGCAGGAGGGCCUCAGAAUUCACCAGCCUCGGGAGACGUCCCCCAGCUCUCCAGUCGUGACGGCAGCGCGAGGACUUCAGGUUCUCACAGAGCACUUUUCUUAGGCUCCCAGUCUGUAACCACUAGUUUGCAGUUGAUUUCAGUGGUCCGGGGACCAGACAGGAAGUGUUCUCCGCCUCUGGAAACAUGCACAGCUCUAGUCAUGCAUUCUUCCCAGGAAUUAUGUCUUCAGUUGAAGACAGGGAAGAGAGGGAUGUGUACACUUCAUACACACACAGAGUGCAUUUGAGUAAACCCAAACUCAAGGCUAAGAGCAGUUCAGGAGGCUCUAGCCUCUAUCCCUGGAGUGCAAGCGGAAGGCAGUAAAACCCUGCUCAGUUGAUAUUUUUGUCCCCAACAGCCAACCUUGAGGUAAUUUUGACCAGCAGCUGUAGACUUAAAAAGAAGAAGAAGAAGAAGAAGAAGAAGAAGAAGAAGAAGAAGAAGAAGAAGAAGAAGAAGAAGAAGAAGA